rnacentral:rRNA from 1 species
AGCAGCCGCGGUAAUUCCAGCUCCAAUAGCGUAUAUUAAAGUUGUUGCAGUUAAAAAGCUCGUAGUUGAAUUUCGGGAUCAAUACGUUGGUCGUGCUUUCGGGUACGUACUGGCGUCAUUGGUUUCUCUCUUCUGACGAACCAUGAUGUCAUUAGUUUGGUGUUAUGGGGAGUUAGGACUGUUACUUUGAAAAAAAUUAGAGUGUUUAAAGCAAGCUAACGCUUGAAUACAUUAGCAUGGAAUAAUGAAAUAGGACGUUCGAUCCUAUUUUGUUGGUUUCUAGGAUUGACGUAAUGAUUAAUAGGGAUAGUUGGGGGCAUUAGUAUUCAAUUGUCAGAGGUGAAAUUCUUGGAUUUAUUGAAGACUAACUACUGCGAAAGCAUUUGCCAAGGAUGUUUUCAUUAAUCAAGAACGAAAGUUAGGGGAUCGAAGACGAUCAGAUACCGUCGUAGUCUUAACCAUAAACUAUGCCGACUAGGGAUCGGAUGAUGUUAAUUUUUUAAUGACUCAUUCGGCGCCU